rnacentral:lncRNA from 1 species
AACAAUCCAAAACAGGAUGCAAAUAAGGUUCUGGCGCACCUGGGCCCAAAAGGAUGGCCCAUACCAAUUCUACAUGCAAGCAGAGGUACACUAGAAAAAACAAUAUAAUGUUAGUAGAUUUUGGCCUAAGCCCAACACACCAAGGCCACACGGAAUUUCAUCAUAUGCAUUGGAAAUGGAUAAGGCUGAACAUUGACACGACAAUGAGUUAGCGCUGAGGUGGAUAAGUAACUCAAAUCACUUAAUACCAAUUAACGCACGUGCAACAUGUUGAAAAGAGAAACUCAGAACAAAUAACACAAAUGCGGAUCUCUCUUCUAUCUCAUUUCAUUUUCUGCUUCUAUUUCUCCCUCCGCCAUUCCGGAGGCUAUCCUCGUCGGCAUAAGCACUCCAAUUAACAAACUAAAGACAACAUCUAACCUAUUUUGACGCCCUAUAUCCGAAUCUACCACUAAAAUUCCCUAAUUCCUCGAUAACUUCUCAAAUCAAAACAAAAUCUUGAUGAACCUUAACAUGAAAAAAUGGAAUUAAAUCGCAUCGGAGGGAAAUCGAUCCACCCCACAUUGGGGCUUUGAUUCCCCUCGUGAAGAACUACAUUCCUGUAACUAAAUUUUGAAAAAACAAAGAAGGUGAUUGAAGGCUCACUAGAGCACACAUCGGCGUCAGGUACGACUUUCUUGAACUCUUUCUUUGCAUUUCAAAUCGUCUUCUUCUUCUCCUGUUGAUUGUGUUGUUAUUCUUGUGUGUGCAUUGUGAGUUAUGAAUCAGCGUGUGUGGUUGUUGAUUUGCGAGAGAAGUGAGAGGUGAUGAAUUCUUGUGAGAGUUUCGAAACUGAGAGUUGAAGAUGAAUUCGAAGGUGAUGCAAAAAUCUGGAAAAUAAGUUGAAGGAGAAUUCAAAGGUGAUGCCAAAAAUAUGGAAAAUGAGUUCCCAAUUGAAAAAUGGUGAUUGUUCUAUUUAUAUAGUUUCUGAUUUCUAUUAUGUUCUUCUCAAAUUAUGUUAUAGUUUUUAUUCAUUUUGUUAGAAGCUUGCGAAGUUUGUUACAAGCCGGUUAGGUUAGUUUGUUGAAAGGUGAAAGUUAGUUACAAAGAGUUAGUUAGGAUAAGUUAGUUGGAAGAAGGUUUAGGUUGUGUGAAGUUAAAUAGGUUCUAAGUUUCUUGAUUGUAGUCAGAAGUGAAAUGAAAAUUUUGCGAAUGUUUUCUGUUUAGACUUUUGAACUGAGUUUUUGUGGUGAUGCAGGGUUGUGGUUUCAAUGGCUAAGGCAAGGUUGACUUGAGAUGUUAUCAUGGUUCUUAGUUAUGAUGGAUCAUGUCAUAGUUUUUCUUUGGUCAUGAAAUUGGAUAUGGAUUUAUGAGCUUUGGAUCAUUAGACUAGUUUUGAUCAUGUUGGAUACUGUUGUAAUGGUUUAUAUUGUGAAUUUGAAAUUAUGUAUGGUUAUGUAAAAGGUAUUUGGAAAUUGAAUAAAUGGAAUUUUGUAUAUGUAUGGAAUUAUUAUUGUAUGAGAUAUGAAUAUUAAUGGUUAAAUAUAAUUUGUGUUAUAAUGUGAUGGAUUAUUGGAUUAAUGGUGGAAAUGUGUAUUAGUGUAUGAUGGUAUAAGGAAAAUCAAUGGUAUUUGACUUUAAAAUGAUAAUUGGAUCUUUUGAAAUGAAAAAAAAAGGCUAAAA